rnacentral:rRNA from 1 species
CUCAGAUUGAACGCUGGCGGCAUGCUUUACACAUGCAAGUCGAACGGUAGCGGGGAAGAAGCUUGCUUCUUCUGCCGACGAGUGGCGAACGGGUGAGUAAUAUAUCGGAACGUGCCAAGUAAUGGGGGAUAACUAUCCGAAAGGAUGGCUAAUACCGCAUACGCUCUACGGAGGAAAGCAGGGGAUCUUCGGACCUUGCGUUAUUUGAGCGGCCGAUAUCUGAUUAGCUAGUUGGUGGGGUAAGAGCCUACCAAGGCAACGAUCAGUAGCGGGUCUGAGAGGAUGAUCCGCCACACUGGGACUGAGACACGGCCCAGACUCCUACGGGAGGCAGCAGUGGGGAAUUUUGGACAAUGGGCGAAAGCCUGAUCCAGCCAUGCCGCGUGUAUGAAGAAGGCCUUAGGGUUGUAAAGUACUUUUGUUAGGGAGGAAAAGCUACAGGUUAAUACCCUGUAGUCAUGACAGUACCUAAAGAAUAAGCACCGGCUAACUACGUGCCAGCAGCCGCGGUAAU